rnacentral:lncRNA from 1 species
GCCAUUGGAUUAAUUCAGCCUUAAAAGACCCUUGCAACAGAAAAAGGCAGAAAAGGAAUGUGACAAAUUUCUCUACUGAAAAGAAAGGAUUCAAAUUGAGGAAGGAUUCAUAACAGGGAAGCAGGAGCGGAAAAUAAUGUGUGAGUAGGAAACAGAUAGACUUGGGUCUCCAAAUCUCCAAAGCCACUUAGUUUUGCAAAUUGGAGAAAGACAUUUAACACUUUUGAGACACAUUUAAACUUAUAAAAUAGAGGGAAAUAAUAUCUACCAACCUGAUGGAUUUUUGUGAGAAUUAAUGAAUAAAAUAUACAAAAUGGUUAUGUCAGGCCAGUGGCAAUCAAUAAAUGCUAGUUUUCUUUUUUCUUCUUUUCCUUUCAGAUUAAAAUUUAAUUGGUUUUAGCUUAAAUUCAGGGUGAAAAUGAUAGACCAAGGAUCACAACCAAUGUGGUUUUAGAGAAGUUUAUAUAUUUUUUAUACAAGGGGACUAAAACACACAUUUUAUAUUUAAUCUAUAAAAUCAAAACAACACUUUACGGUUCCAAUUUAAUUUUUAAUUUCCCAAGGAAUUCUGAAUUUGUUAAUGAAAUCUUGAUUGUAUUCUAAAAAUUAUAACUUUUAGGAAGCCUUUUCUGACCCUCUGCUCACUAUGGUCCCUCUUUUGUAUCUAAAUACUAUGCAACUUAUAGCUCUCUUAAGAGGCCAGUGAUGAACUGCUGUGUAUUGUAAAAGUUACUCUCUUAUUGCCCUUACUAGUUGCUAAGAUACUUGAUGGCAGAAAGAAUUUUUUUCUCUUUUAAUCUCAUCUGUUGUAGUACCUGACACUGUUUCACACUGAAUACUAAAGAUUCUCUGAAAAGUUUCAUAAUUAUAGCAUUGUGUUGUUUUUUUCUAUGUACAUAUGUCACCAUUGCCCACAAAUCCCCUCCAUAUUAAAAAGGAAAAUUCUCUAGCA